AUUGAACGCUGGCGGCAGGCCUAACACAUGCAAGUCGAACGAGUGGCGGACGGGUGAGUAAUGUCUGGGAAACUGCCUGAUGGAGGGGGAUAACUACUGGAAACGGUAGCUAAUACCGCAUACCAUCGGAUGUGCCCAGAUGGGAUUAGCUAGUAGGUGGGGUAAAGGCUCACCUAGGAGACGAUCCCUAGCUGGUCUGAGAGGAUGACCAGCCACACUGUAACUAUGCCACGGUCCAGACGCCUACGUGAGGCAGCAGUGGGGAAUAGUGCACAAUGGGGGCAAGCCGGAUGAACGCAUGCCGCGUGUAUGAAGAAGGGCUUCGUGUUGUAAAGUACUUUCAGCGGCGAGGCGUUACCCGCAGAAGAAGCAACGGCUAACUCCGUGCCAGCAGCCGCGGUAAUAC
rnacentral:rRNA from 1 species